rnacentral:ncRNA from 1 species
UGAUUUGCGAUGAUGAAGAAGAGUAGGCAUUCUAAACGCUUCAGAGAACUGAUGGUUGGUGAGAAUCAGUGCGGGAUGAUUGUUGAAUGGGCUUUGGAGCUACUAGACUGAAUAGAGUAGGUUUAGCGGGAUGUCUUGCCGUUAAAAAAGACAAAGUAUCGAAACAAUUUUUUGUUUCUGUACGGAUAAAGUGCGUUCGCAUUAGUGAACGAAUGAAGGUGGCACCACGGGUUACUCGUCCUUUUU